rnacentral:rRNA from 1 species
GACGAACGCUGGCGGCGUGCUUAACACAUGCAAGUCGAACGGAAAGGCCUCUUUCGGGGGGUACUCGAGUGGCGAACGGGUGAGUAACACGUGAGUAACCUGCCCUUGACUUUGGGAUAACUUCAGGAAACUGGGGCUAAUACCGGAUAGGAGCUCCUGCUGCAUGGUGGGGGUUGGAAAGUUUCGGCGGUUGGGGAUGGACUCGCGGCUUAUCAGCUUGUUGGUGGGGUAGUGGCUUACCAAGGCUUUGACGGGUAGCCGGCCUGAGAGGGUGACCGGCCACAUUGGGACUGAGAUGCGGCCCAGACUCCUACGGGAGGCAGUAGUGGGGAAUAUUGCACAAUGGGUGGAAGCCUGAUGCAGCAACGCCGUGUGCGGGAUGACGGCCUUCGGGUUGUAAACCGCUUUCGCUCAUGACGAAGCUUUGUGUGACGGUAGUGGGUAAAGAAGCACCGGCUAACUACGUG